rnacentral:rRNA from 1 species
UACGGGGGGGGUAAGCGUUGUUCGGAAUUACUGGGCGUAAAGGGCUCGUAGGCGGCCAACUAAGUCAUACGUGAAAUCCCUCAGCUUAACUGGGGAACUGCGUGUGAUACUGGAUGGCUUGGAUGUGGGAGAGGGAUGCGGAAUUCCAGGUGUAGCGGUGAAAUGCGUAGAUAUCGGGAGGAACACCAGUGGCGAAGGCGGCUACCUGGCCCACUCUUGACGCUGAGGCGCGAAAGCUAGGGGAGCAAACGGG